rnacentral:rRNA from 1 species
UGGGGAAUAUUGCACAAUGGGGGAAACCCUGAUGCAGCGACGCCGCGUGAGUGAAGAAGUAUUUCGGUAUGUAAAGCUCUAUCAGCAGGGAAGAAAAUGACGGUACCUGACUAAGAAGCCCCGGCUAACUACGUGCCAGCAGCCGCGGUAAUACGUAGGGGGCAAGCGUUAUCCGGAUUUACUGGGUGUAAAGGGAGCGUAGGUGGCAUGGUAAGCCAGAAGUGAAAACCCGGGGCUCAACUCCGCGGAUUGCUUUUGGAACUAUCAGGCUGGAGUGCUGGAGGGGUAAGCGGAAUUCCUAGU